rnacentral:ncRNA from 1 species
UGGGAGCACAUAAUCCGAGCCGAGUCUCUCUAAGUCUUGGGGAUAAGAGGGCUGGGUCGUAGCACAAAUUUUGCGCUACCAGGGCUAUGAUUUGAAAAGGUCGUAGCCUCCCGUGUUUGGAAAGGAUGCUAAUGAUUUCUACC